rnacentral:rRNA from 1 species
UACGAAGGGGGCUAGCGUUGCUCGGAAUCACUAGGGCGUAAGGCGCACGUAGGCGGACUCUUAAGUCGGUGGUGAAAUCCUGGAGCUCAACUCCAGAACUGCCGUUCGAUAACUGAGAGUCGUCGAGUCCGGGAGAGGUGAGUGGAACUGCGAAGUGUAGAGGUAGAAAGUUCGAUGAGAAUACUUCGGCCAAAGAACGACC